rnacentral:tRNA from 1 species
GCAGGCGUAGUUCAGUGGUAGAACACGACCUUGCCAAGGUCGAUAUGCGGGUUCGAUUCCCGUCGCUUGCUCCA